CUUAUACUGCUCAAGAUUAUUACCGUUUGAUCAGAAGUAUGGCUCUGAGAACGAAUGAACGAGUGAGAAAGAAGAACAAGAGAACAUGGUGUUCGCGCUAGUUUCUUCACCUUCGUGAAUUCUCAAAAAUCAAGGUUAGAAGACAAUAACUGCCAAGUUGUGAGAGAAGAAAAAAGUGAGCGAAACUGAGAAAACAUAGGAAAGAUAGAGAAAGAGAGAGAGAGAGCGAGAGAGGAAGAGGAAUAGGGGGAGAGAGAGAGCGAGUGAGGGCAAUAGAGAAAGAGAAAACGAGUGAGCGAGUACGAGGAGACGCGACUGACGCGAAAGUAGAGAUUUGAUUAUUCUUCUUCGUGUAAGGAGGAAAAGAAUUCGGGUGUUUAUUUCAUUUGUGAUUCAUAACAAGAGAAAAGUUACCCAACCUCAACAUCGGCUGGAGAGAGACACACCUGCGGCGCUCCAAUGCAUUGUCGAAUGUUUAUCAGAUGAAAUUUAUACUUGACGAGAUUUGCCAUGAGUUCCGUCCAAACUUUCUAAGGUUAGCAGAUAAAAUGAUGGAAGAAUCUAAAUGAUGGAUAACAAGGUGGGAAACUUCCAGGACCUAUGCUCUACGCAUUGAUGGGUAUAUGCUUUUCCUGUAGGAGACCCUCUAGCAGUCGGCUGAAUAAUAAAAUUUCUGAGCACAUAUCGGCAUCGGUAACCCCGCUCCAUGUUUGUCUGGAGGAACAAAGAGGACCAGAACUGGGUUCGUGUGACGCCGUGGCCAGUGGGACACAGCAGGUUAAAAGUAGCCGUGAUCAUUUGGGAGAAACGGUUAGCAUUAAAUCGUGGGAAACGGAGAUAGAAUCUACUCGAGUUGAAUCAGACGAGUGGAUUCAGCCAAGCAUGGCAAAUACAAUCAGUAAUAUAAAAAUGACAAACCCCAUAAAGGGGUUAGUAAGUAAACGUCGCAAACGUUUCACAGAGGAUGGAUUUGACCUUGAUCUCACUUAUAUUCGUGAUAAUCUUAUAGCAAUGGGCUUUCCUGCCGAGAAACUUGAAGGUGUAUAUAGAAAUCACAUUGACGACGUGGUAAAAUUUUUGGAGUCAAAACAUAAAGAUCACUACAAAAUUUAUAAUCUUUGUUCAGAGCGAUCAUAUGAUUAUAAAAAAUUUAAACAAAGAGUUGUAACAUAUGCAUUCGAUGAUCAUAAUCCGCCCAAAUUGGAGCAAAUAAAACCUUUUUGUGAAGAUGUUCACGCAUGGUUAUCCGAAGAUUGUAAAAAUGUCGCUGCUGUACAUUGUAAAGCUGGCAAAGGUAGAACUGGUGUUAUGGUUUGCUGUUAUCUACUUCAUACAAAACAGUUUUCCACUGCCGCGGAUGCUUUAAAUUUUUAUGGAACUAAAAGAACGACUGAUCGGAAAGGAGUAACGAUUCCUUCACAACGGAGAUAUGUCAGUUAUUAUGCGUCACUUAUCCAAGAAGGGCUUCAUUAUCAACCUGUUCCUCUGAUUUUAAGAAAAAUUAUAUUAGAUCCUGUUCCGAUAUUCAACGGCAAUCAAGGAUAUUUACAUUUUGUGAUAUCACAGGAAAACAAACGUAUUUACUCUUCUGAAACAGUUGAAAUAAAAAAGGGAAUGUCAUCAAUUAGCAUUCCUUUAACUCAUCAUGUUUUGUUGACGGGUGAUGUUCGUGUAGAUUUUUUUAAUAAGAAACCAAAAAUAAAAAGAAAAGAAAAAAUGUUCCAUUUUUGGUUUAACACAUUCUUUGUACGUGACAAUACACCAAUGGAAUAUGAAAACGGUGAAUUACCCGUAGAACGUUCUACAAGAGCAUUAAGUUGCGAUGGUACAGCAAUGGAACUGCCAAUGGUAACAUCAAAACCGAGAACAAGUUCAUUGGCUAAUCUUGGUCAAAUGUCGCCUACACUUAUUUUAGACAUUAAUAAAUUGGAUCUAGAUGAUGCGCAUAAAGAUAAAUAUCAUAAAUUAUAUGCUAAUAAUUUUAAGGUGACUUUGGUAAUGCAUCGACAAUGGGAAGGAACUGGCAGUGGCAUACCACAUACAGUGCCAGCAAUAGUGCCCAGACCUGAUGAACAAAUUGGUAUAAGUGGACAUGAGAGUCCAAGUGAAUCGAGUGAUGCAGAUAGUAGUGAAUGUGAUACAACAGGUGAUGAAGAUGGAUGGGAAUCAGUGGACAUGGAUCAACGAGUCGGCCGAUAUCGUCUUCUGUCAGAUGGAGGAAUGAUAGAUGUUGUAUGAAUCCGCGUCGUCUUCAUAUUCUCUACUCCCGUCAUCUUGAAUCGUCCCUUCGAGUUUCGGGAGAAUCAACGUAUUUGUGAUUUUGAGACGUGACUGAGGAUGGGCCACUGCAAGCUAAGCUCCUUUACAGACGACCAACCUUUAUAACUAGAAUAGUUAAAUAUUACUUCAUGUACCUUAAAAAAAUUUUAAUCAUACUUUUUGACAUUAUCAUAACAUUCUAACUUUACCUGUUUACUACAUUGCUAUGAGCAUGAGUUCCAUUUUUGCCUUUAUAAUUAUUUUUUAAUUGAUUAUAUAUCUAAAGAGCGAAUUAAUCUCAAAGUCCUAUCCUUUGAUUCUGUUGCUCAUCUAAAUUGAAAUAUAAAUUUUCCAACAUAUUCAUAAGUACGUAAAAAUUAAUG
rnacentral:misc_RNA from 1 species